rnacentral:rRNA from 1 species
CCUACGGGUGGCUGCAGUGGGGAAUAUUGGACAAUGGGCGAAAGCCUGAUCCAGCCAUGCCGCGUGUGUGAAGAAGGCCUUCGGGUUGUAAAGCACUUUCAGUGGGGAAGAAAGCCUUGGGGCUAAUACCCUCGAGGAAGGACAUCACCCACAGAAGAAGCACCGGCUAACUCCGUGCCAGCAGCCGCGGUAAUACGGAGGGUGUGAGCGUUAAUCGGAAUUACUGGGCGUAAAGCGCGCGUAGGCGGUCUGAUAAGCCGGUUGUGAAAGCCCCGGGCUCAACCUGGGAACGGCAUCCGGAACUGUCAGGCUAGAGUGCAGGAGAGGAAGGUAGAAUUCCCGGUGUAGCGGUGAAAUGCGUAGAGAUCGGGAGGAAUACCAGUGGCGAAGGCGGCCUUCUGGACUGACACUGACGCUGAGGUGCGUAAGCGUGGGUAGCAAACAGGAUUAGAUACCCUUGUAGUC